rnacentral:rRNA from 1 species
GAUGAACGCUGGCGGCGUGCCUAAUACAUGCAAGUAGAACGCUGAAGGAGGAGCUUGCUCUUUUGGAUGAGUUGCGAACGGGUGAGUAGCGCGUAGGUAACCUGCCUGGUAGCGGGGGAUAACUAUUGGAAACGAUAGCUAAUACCGCAUGACAACAGUUAUUGCAUGAUAACUGUUUAAAAGGGGCAACUGCUCCACUACCAGAUGGACCUGCGUUGUAUUAGCUAGUUGGUGAGGUAACGGCUCACCAAGGCGACGAUACAUAGCCGACCUGAGAGGGUGAUCGGCCACACUGGGACUGAGACACGGCCCAGACUCCUACGGGAGGCAGCAGUAGGGAAUCUUCGGCAUUGGACGGAAGUCUGACCGAGCAACGCCGCGUGAGUGAAGAAGGUUUUCGGAUCGUAAAGCUCUGUUGUAAGAGAAGAACGAGUGUGAGAGUGGAAAGUUCACACUGUGACGGUAUCUUACCAGAAAGGGACGGCUAACUACG